rnacentral:rRNA from 1 species
CUCUUCUUGAAUUAAUAAGAGGUAGGGUCUGCUCCAUGCUUGAGGUAAAUUGCCGCAGUAUUCUGACUGUGCUAAGGUAGCAAAAUAAUUUGGCUCUUUAUUGGAGUCUGGAAUGAAUGAUUUGACAAAGUCUACACUGUCUCACUUGUAAUGUUAGAAAUUGGAUUGUUUGUAAAAAUACAAACAUAAAUGAGAGGGACGAAAAGACCCUAUAGAUCUUUACUUUAUUAUCAAAUAUUCUUUUGGGUUUUUGGUAUGUUAAGUUUACUUGGGAUAAGGCUGAAAAUGUAAAUUUUGGUUUAAGGAAAAGAUGGAUUAAUUGAAAAAACGAUUGAAAAAAAGAUAAGUUACCUUAGGGAUAACAGGAUAAUUUCUUUAUUUAGAACUUAUUAAUAAAGGAGUUUAUUACCUCGAUGUUGAAUUAAGUUUACUUUUGUUCGGAGAAGAAUAAGGAGUUAGUCUGUUCGACUAUUGAAAACUU